UACGUAGGGGGCAAGCGUUGUCCGGAAUUAUUGGGCGUAAAGAGCGUGUAGGCGGUCCGGUAAGUCAGCUGUGAAAGUCAAGGGCUCAACCCUUGAAUGCCGGUUGAUACUGUCGGGCUAGAGUCCGGAAGAGGCGAGUGGAAUUCCCGGUGUAGCGGUGAAAUGCGCAGAUAUCGGGAGGAACACCAAUGGCGAAGGCAGCUCUCUGGCCGGUAUUGACGCUGAGGCGCGAAAGCCAGGGGAGCAAACGGG
rnacentral:rRNA from 1 species